rnacentral:rRNA from 1 species
GCAGGCUGNAACCCGCCUGCGUGAAGUUGGAAUUGCUAGUAAUCGCGGAUCAGCAAGCCGCGGUGAAUACGUUCCCGGGCCUUGUACACACCGCCCGUCACACCAUGAGAGUCGGGAACACCCGAAGUCCGUAGUCUAACCGCAAGGAGGGCGCGGCCGAAGGUGGGUUCGAUAAUUGGGGUGAAGUCGUAACAAGGUACC